ACUUCGUGUUGACGAAGCGUCCGAAACCGUCUCCCCGGAACUGGUGGUGUCAUGACUAGACGUGGAGUAGGUCGAAUCCGAUCUCCGAAAAGAUUUCGAGUGGAAAAUUUCGUCUCCAGAAUCUGUCUCUGAAGAUUCUGUUGUCGAGGUCGAUUUUUUCGACGAAUUCGACGAGAACUUUGGAAAUCUCGAUGUUGACGAUUCCCCACGAGUUCGGUUUCUGUUUCGAGUGAAAAAUGGAGAAUCGAAUAUUUUCUCGAUAGGUGUGUUGAAGAAUUUCGACUUCCUUAAAUCAUAACCCGCGGAUUUGAUGUCCUCUAACAAAUCGAACGUGCCCGAAAAUAGAUCCUUGUCAUCGAAAUCAUCGAAGUCACCCAUCCUGGUGAAAUAGAGUUAUAUCAAUCAACGGUCCCAAUAGACGUUGUCUUUCAGUAAAAAUAUAACCAAAUCCAGGAUUACCAAUAUCCCAUAAAUAACUCCACAUCAGAUAGAGAAUUCAGUGAACAGGCGUUUUGAUGUUAGCUCCGUUGAAAUACAGAAGAAAUCGCUUUCAGAUCAGAGGCGAAAAAUGAGUGCAUAUAUUUUGUUUUUCUUGUUUCUACAACAACGCUACACAGAAGCAUCCGUAGGAGAAUGGAGCACCUCUCUUCUUCUUCUUUUUUACAUUAUGUUAAUGAUAAGCAGCACACACACACACACGGAAUAUAUCGCUAAUCAUCCCUCAUCUAACAACACCCCCCUCUUCUGGUUGGAGUCUGGCGAUCCCUCUUCUCUGCAACAUUAGCUGUCGUACAGCGUUAUAUGUAAUUCCAAGGAACCCAAUUAACUUAAUUGAUCCGGGUCGCCUCUGGAGCCCGCAGCUGUAUGACACAGUACCAACCAAAUAUCUGAAACACAGAAAAUUGCAGCAUUGGUUAUUGUCAAAUAAUAUCCUUAGUUUGAUUUGAGCAGGCAGUUAUAGUAUUGAUUGUUGCUGUCAUAUCUCCAUGGCGCAACAGUGUUAGAGACGAAUCAAAUAUCACACUGGAAAUUCCGAGUCCUGGAUUUUUUUCUCUCUCGGAGUGCAGUAUCAAGCUACAUACAUGUAGGCACACAUUGUCAUUAUUACAAGGGUUCAACUUCUGAAAGACUAUUAUGUGCUAAUUCUCUAAUGGGUAGCGGACCAUGCAAAUGAAUGUCAACAUGGGCUAUUCUCGGCGACGUGUUACGGAAAGUUACGUCAGUUUCCGAUUCCUCAGAUAACCGGGCACCAUUGAUCCCCGUCCACCCCUUUAUAAGUAUGCAUUGUAGUUGUUAUAAAUUAACGAAUGUUAAUAGCCCGAGACCCCGGGGAGUAGACGCAUGUUGAUCUUGUGGCAUGUGAAUUUCAAAGCGAAAAAAAAUAAUGAAAUUAGGGUUAUUGGCAAAAGAAUGUUUGUGCGACAGUUGGGUUACGAAUAACCUUAAUUUGUUUGCUUCUCGGUAUAUUGGAAACUUACCGAUAACAAAAGUUUAGAAAUAUUAUUUCAAAUGGAACUUAGAAUAUGAGUUUGAUAUACUAUGAUUAAGUGAUAAUAAAUUAAGAAGAAACGAAGGGAU
rnacentral:sRNA from 1 species